rnacentral:tRNA from 1 species
GAGAGUAUAGCUCAUUGGUAGAGGACAUGCUUAGCAUGCUUGAGGUCCUGGGCUCAAUCCCCAGUACCUCCA